UCUUCUUCAAUUCUUUCCUCCAUGGCCGACUGUAGCAAGGGAACACCAUGGUUAGGGUUUGUUCAUCUUCCAAGCUUCAUGGUAAGUCCGUUCUAGCCCCGUUUUUCUUGUUCUUUAUAUUUUUAGAAUCCCGGUAAAUUGCAUAAUCUAAUUCUACUAUUAAUUCGAGCUAGAAUUUAUGUUUGAAAAAUUACCCAUAGAUGAAAAGUGUGAAUUUUGAUGUUUCAUGACAGGAUAUGAAGCUUAGAGUUAUGUUAAACGAUUUUUGCUAAUCGAUUUUCAGCGAAAACGAGUAAAACGACAUAAUUGGUAAAAAUACCUAAUGCUCAUAAGUAAGUGUUAGAGUGGGAAUUUGAUGUUGGCUUAGAAGGGAAAAAUGUUCAGUAUGUCAUAAAACAUAAGAAUAAGAGAGGAAGUUUAAUUUUUGAGCUUUGAGGCUAAAGUGUAAAUAUGUAAAAGUUUAGGGGCAAAAUUGUAAUUUUUCUAAAGUUUGAGUUAAGGACUGUUUUGAUGAAUGUGCAUGUUAAAUAAGUCAAAUGUGUUAUUAUAGUUCAAGAAAGAUGUGGAAUCUACCUUGAUCGGAGAAAAGAAAAGAUUAAAGAUUAAAGACUAAAUUGCUAAAUUUCUAUAUUGUUGCACCAAAGUAAGUAUGUAUGUGAAUUUAUGUAUUAUUUUAAUGUUAUUCAAUAAAUUUUUGAGAUUUGAUUGAAUAUAGAAUAAAUAUUUGAUGUAGAAUAUAAGAAGUUGGUUAAGUUUGAGAAAUGUGGUAAAAUGUUGAAAAACAAGGUUUCCGACUGAACACUCGGAAUAGACCGGAAUACAUUGAAUAAAAAGGGGUUGCUAAGUGCUGAUUCCCCGAAUUAUUGAAUCUAAAGGUGGUUGCUAUGUGCUGAUUUCACCCUAUCUUUGAUUGUGAAAG
rnacentral:lncRNA from 1 species